UUAGUAUUCCCUUCGUCUGGAAAUACUUGUCAGAAAAAUGGAUGUAUCUAAAUGUAUUUUAGUUUUAGAUAUUUUUAUUUUUAUUCAUUUUGACGAUAAGUAAUUCCGAACGGAGGGAGUACAAC
rnacentral:pre_miRNA from 1 species